AAUGGGGGAAACCCUGAUCCAGCAAUGCCGCGUGAGUGAUGAAGGCCCUAGGGUUGUAAAACUCUUUCAGAAGUGAAGAUGAUGACGGUAACUUCAGAAGAAGCUCCGACUAACUCCGUGCCAGCAGCCGCGGUAAUACGGAGGGAGCUAGCGUUGUUCGGAAUUACUGGGCGUAAAGAGCGUGUAGGCUGUUAGGUAAGUCAGAGGUGAAAUCCCUAAGCUCAACUUAGGAACUGCCUUUGAUACUAUCUUACUAGAGAUCGAGAGAAGUUAGCGGAAUUCCAAGUGUAGAGGUGAAAUUCGUAGAUAUUUGGAAGAACACCAGUGGCGAAAGCGGCUAACUGGCUCGUAUCUGACGCUGAGACGCGAAAGCGUGGGUAGCAAACAGGAUU
rnacentral:rRNA from 1 species